UAAGAGAAAGAAAGAGAAAGAGAGAGAGAAAGACAGACAAAGAAAUUGACAGACUCGUGUAUGGUUUCUUGGUGAGUUUGUCUUUGAUUUUUU
rnacentral:ribozyme from 1 species